GGAGCGCAGAGAGCAAGAUCCGUCCUGCAAGAAUGAAUUGGCUGAGCUAAGACAUGUCAGACCAGCGCCCAGGAAGCAAACCAUUGAAAAUGAAACAUACGAGGAAUAUGAGGAGGCUUUUGAGAAUGACUCAAUUGAAAAGGUGGUGGUGGCACGGAAGGCGAAGAGGCGAGUGAAUUUUUUCAAACGUAUAUUCACCUCUCGAAAAUGAAGACUUCACGAUGCAUGUUGGUGUUGAACCGGCCGACCCCUGUACG